GUUGGCUAUCGACCUUGUGCUCCCUUGAGCCUUUUCACAGUUGGAACAAGGACAGCUCACCUGCCCUGGUAAAUACUUUGGUGAAUGAGUUACUUGUACGUCUACUCUGGAUGUCCUCGAGAUAGAGGACCCGACUAUACCUACCCGGGACGCAACUGAGUUGCUCCUAGAUUUUCUAUCGAUACCAAAGGAAAAGUCGUACUACUAGUAUUGUGUAGAAAUGUUGUAUUGCCGAAGAUAAAAGCAAGCCGAAAGGUAGUUGACGCAACAAAUAACCAUAGUCGUUUUUCCCCUGCCGUCCAUGCAAGAAGACAGGGGUGAACAGCAUGUUCCUUGCUUUGGAAGCCAUUAUCUCGCUCUGGUGUGGCAUUCGAUAAAUUGGACGAAGACAGCGGCGUUCCUAGCGGAAUUCAACCCGGUGAGUCCUUCGUCGGCAUCGACUGGAAAUGCGUCACGACAUUUCGCCAUUGGGCAGGACACAGUCAUGACUCCCUAAGCACUUUGGAGGUUCCUGCCAAUGACGGUUCGACAAAAAACGACCGCGACGAUGUCAGGGGUCUAGUCACCAUUGUGCUGGCGGAAUGCGAACACUGAGAGGCACAUGUCCCUGCGAACGACCUGGAUGGCAGAUGCUCGGCGGCUGCGGAAGGAAUGAUGCAAAGAAUUUGGUGUGCUCUUUUGAUGCAGGACAGCAGGAGUAUGUGCCCCGAUAUGACAUGCAGUACUCCGAAAGGGAUUCUGAAAUGUCCGCUUACUAUGGGAUGGGGAAGUGGAUGGAGCGACGGAAAUCACUGACGUUUUCUACCUACUAGUAUACCGACCAUAUCAGAAGAGACACAUGACGAUUUAUGGCAGAGUACCCAGGACCAAGAAAGGAACAAGACCAAGAACACAGCAAGAAUUACGUUCCUCAAAUAUUCAAUAGGAGAAGGCAAUCAUUGGCUCAUUCUCUAAUGAUGGCCAUCCCUAGCCCCGACCACCAGCCCCUAGGUGAACUUCACUCUAAUAGCUUCACCGUACCAAUGAGUCAAACAGCAGAGAUGUGUGAAGCGAAAGUAGAGAUUCUUCACCUUUUGCUUAGGGCCUGUCACUUGUAAUUUGUGCCUGGUGAUAAGACUGAGGGUCAUGUAUUAGAUUUCAGCUGUGCAACAGG